rfam:Microdochium bolleyi strain J235TASD1 unplaced genomic scaffold Micbo1qcscaffold_5, whole genome shotgun sequence.
GGCAAAGUGCCAGAGUGGUUAAUGGGUCAGCCUCGAAAACGCUCCGUCAGGAGCUGAUUACGUAAGCUGAUGGCUUCGGUCGCGCAGGUUCGAGUCCUGUCUUUGUCG